rnacentral:rRNA from 1 species
GCCAAGGGGAUUCAAGCACAGCUUAAAACCCAAAGGACUUGACGGUGCCCCAUAUCCCCCUAGAGGAGCCUGUCCUAUAACCGAUAAUCCCCGUUUAACCUCACCACAACUAGCUUAUCAGCCUGUAUACUUCCGUCGUCAGCCUACCACAUGAGCGAAACUCAGUUAGCCCAAUGUCCGCACAUCAAAGUGUUUAUAUCGACAAUACGUCAGGUCAAAGUGCAGCAAAUGCUGUGGGAAGAGAUUGGCUACACUUUUUAAUGUAAAAGAAACGAAAAACAAAAUGAAACUUUGUCAGAAGGUGGAUUUAGCAGUAAAAGAAAAAUAUUAAAUUUCCUUUAACUCGGCACUGGGGUGUGU